ACAGAGGGAAGCAACAUCGCGAGGUGAAGCAAAUCCCAAAAAAGUGUCUCAGUUCAGAUUGUAGGCUGCAACUCGCCUACAUGAAGUCGGAAUUGCUAGUAAUCGCGGAUCAGCAUGCCGCGGUGAAUACGUUCCCGGGCCUUGUACACACCGCCCGUCACACCAUGAGAGCCGGUAACACCCGAAGUCAGUAGCCUAACCGCAAGGGGGGCGCUGCCGAAGGUGGGAUUGGUAAUUGGGGUGAAGUCGUAACAAGGUACC
rnacentral:rRNA from 1 species